rnacentral:rRNA from 1 species
UAGGGAAUCUUCGGCAAUGGGGGGAACCCUGACCGAGCAACGCCGCGUGAGUGAAGAAGGUUUUCGGAUCGUAAAGCUCUGUUGUUAAGGAAGAACGUGUGUGAGAGUGGAAAGUUCACACAGUGACGGUACUUAACCAGAAAGGGACGGCUAACUACGUGCCAGCAGCCGCGGUAAUACGUAGGUCCCGAGCGUUGUCCGGAUUUAUUGGGCGUAAAGCGAGCGCAGGCGGUUAGAUAAGUCUGAAGUUAAAGGCUGUGGCUUAACCAUAGUACGCUUUGGAAACUGUUUAACUUGAGUGCAAGAGGGGAGAGUGGAAUUCCAUGUGUAGCGGUGAAAUGCGUAGAUAUAUGGAGGAACACCGGUGGCGAAAGCGGCUCUCUGGCUUGUAACUGACGCUGAGGCUCGAAAGCGUGGGGAGCAAACAGGAUUAGAUACCCUGGUAGUCCACGCCGUAAACGAUGAGUGCUAGGUGUUAGACCCUUUCCGGGGUUUAGUGCCGCAGCUAACGCAUUAAGCACUCCGCCUGGGGAGUACGACCGCAAGGUUG